rfam:Pteropus alecto contig50029, whole genome shotgun sequence.
GUCUAUGGCCAUGCCACCCUGAACAAGCCCAAUAUCUGAUUUCGGAAGCUAAGCAGGGUGGGGCCUGGUUAGUACUUGGAUGAGAGACCACCUAGUAAGACCAGGUGCUGCAGGCA